GUCUAGCCUGCUCACUGACAAAGAUGUUAAAUAGCCGCGGUAUUUUGACCGUGCAAAGGUAGCAUAAUCAUUAGUUUUUUAAUUGGAAACUUGUAUGAAUGGUUGGACAAAGAAAAAGCUGUCUCUUUUAUUAAAAUUGAAAUUAACUUCUAAGUGAAAAGGCUUAGAUUUUCUAGAGGGACGAUAAGACCCUAUAAAGCUUUAUAAAUUAAGUAAGUUAGAACAAAUUUUAUAGAAUAAAGGUAAAUUUAAUAUAUUUAUUUGGUUGGGGCGACAAUGGUAUAAAUUAAAUAACUGCUAUUAAAAUUAAACAAUUAUAUUUGAUUAAAAUUUAAUUGAUCCUUAUUAUGGAUUAAAAGAUCAAGUUACUUUAGGGAUAACAGCGUAAUUUCUUUUAAGAGUUCUUAUCAAAGAAGAAGUUUGCGACCUCGAUGUUGAAUUAAAAUGUCUUUAUAGUGCAGAAGCUAUAAAAGAAGGUCUGUUCGACCUUUAAUUUUUUACAUGAUUUGAGU
rnacentral:rRNA from 1 species